rnacentral:lncRNA from 1 species
CACAACCGAGUCAACCAGUGCAGGAUUUUCUAGGUAGACUUUGGGUAGACCAAUCUACUUGGAAUUAGAGCUCCCAGUUGGGCUGGAGCUAUGUAUUUGAAAUUUCAAAGAGUUACAGGCAAGGGAGCGUCAGAACAGUUUUCAGGCCAAUGGUAGGUGAUGUUGAAAUGACAAUCAGAGUGGACUAAUAGAUAAAGGAGAGACUGGUGUUGAGAGAUGUGAAGAGGGCUCUGUAGAAAUCCAGGCUGGGGAUGAUGAGGUUCUAGACCAGACCAACGGAAAUGGAGAAUCACAAACAAGUAGAUGAUUUUAACUGUGGGGCUGGAUAUCUAGUGAAGGAAAUCUACAGGUAAGGGGACCAAAGCAGAUCCUCAGGGGUUCCAGCAAGGAUUUUUCCCAGGAAUGUGACAUGCUGGCUCUUUGGUACAGAAGAUAAGAACACAAGAGAUAAAGGGUACAAGUGGAGAUUGUCAUCAUGCCUGAUAAUUGGGGGUCAUGAAAGCCCAGAAGAUUCAGAGCUGCUCCUUGUCAGAAUAAGCGGGGAAGCUUCCUGCUCAGGAAUGAGGAUUCCUGAAAUCAAUUAUUUUAAACUCAAUUUCACUAACGAGAGACAUGAAGUUAACAACUAAGAUCAACUUGCCAGCUUCUGUGUCCAGGCCUCCCUGCAGGAGGCAGAAAACCAGCAGGAUAAAUUAAUAGGCAGAACUCAAAACAAACAAAUAAACGAAAGCACUGUGGAAAUUCA